UAACACAUGCAAGUCGAACGAUGAUAGAGAGCUUGCUUUCUUGAUUAGUGGCGCACGGGUGAGUAAUGCAUAGAUAAUGUGCCCUUAGUUCGGGAUAGCCACUGGAAACGGUGAUUAAUACCGGAUACUCCUUCUUGUUAUAAGACAAGUCGGGAAAGUUUUUCGCUAAGGGAUCAGUCUAUGUUCCAUCAGCUUGUUGGUGAGGUAAUGGCUCACCAAGGCUAUGACGGAUAUCUGGUUUGAGAGGAUGAUCAGACACACUGGAACUGAGACACGGUCCAGACUCCUACGGGAGGCAGCAGUGAGGAAUAUUGCACAAUGGAGGAAACUCUGAUGCAGCAACGCCGCGUGGAGGAUGGCGCAUUUCGGUGUGUAAACUCCUUUUAUUAGGGAAGAUAAUGACGGUACCUAAUGAAUAAGCACCGGCUAACUCCGUGCCAGCAGCCGCGGUAAUACGGAGGGUGCAAGCGUUACUCGGAAUCACUGGGCGUAAAGGGUGCGUAGGCUGGCUUUUAAGUCAGAUGUGAAAUCCAAUGGCUCAACCAUUGAACUGCAUUUGAAACUGAAAGCCUAGAGUUCAGAAGGGGCAGAUGGAAUUAGUGGUGUAGGGGUAAAAUCCGUAGAUAUCACUAGGAAUAUCAAAAGCGAAGGCGAUCUGCUGGGAUGAUACUGACGCUGA
rnacentral:rRNA from 1 species